CAGAGAAACAGCGAGGGUGACAUUUAGAAGUAGGCUCGGCUGCUCUACAAGGAAGGGAGCUCCCAUCUCUGCGUCUCUUUCAGUUAAAGCAUGUUCCAGUGCCUGUCAUUGUCUGAGCCAAGAGACCUGUCUGACCUACUUUGUUAAGCCAGGUGGUAUCAUAGACAGACAAAAGUGCCAGCAGAUUCUGCAGGAAGUGGAGGAUGAGGAACCUG
rnacentral:lncRNA from 1 species